GGAACUCAUCCAUGGAAGUCACCCCACCUGGUAGCCAUUAAACAAGCAAAAAAGAAAUUUCAAUAUACAAGGAAUGACUCUCCCUUUCUUCAACAAGCAUCCAGUGAAAUGGAUAAACUGAAGCCUAAAAUCCAUGGGAUACUCUAAUAUCAGAGGCCACAAAAUAUGUUUCUAAAUGUCCUAGACCCAAAACAGGAUUCAGUACAUCUGGUAUCUCGAUUGGAGAGCAAGUGAAUGAUGAUGAAACACUGUAGGUUAUAUCUAUCAAUGUGCCAUUGUUAGAUGUUAAUUGGGGGCUGCAUCAUCUGGAAUAAAGUAGUGACGACGAAAAGGUUCCAGAAAUGAGUCAAACAUGGUUCCUACAUAUGCACACAGUACAGAACAGACAAAGAAAGUAAGGUAUUCCUGAAUAUGCAUCCUCUUUUACAUCUUUAUUUUUUUAAUUCCUAUUCUCUCAUAAGGACACAACAAUUCACACCAAACUCAGAACUAGAACAAUUCACACCAAACUCAGAACUGGGUUUUAAUCAGGGAAAUGUUAUGUUCCAUAUCUCUUAACCCCACCAAAAAAAAAAAAGGAUUUCGAGCAAAUUGAAGUCGGUGAUUUAUGAAUAUGGAAAAAGAACCUGAAAUCCCAAUAUCAUAGCCGAAGAGAGAUCCUCCAACGGCGGCAAUGAUGCAGGUGAUGACGACAUAAGCUGUAACUCUACCCUUGUAUUGAGCUGCUCUCUCCUUCGCCACACCUUGCGCAAAUGACCCUCCUGCCAUUUCUGCCCCACAGAAAAAAAGAAAAAGCUCAAGGCCGACUCUUGUUCUGUUCUCAGAGAUUAUUAUUCCCACACUGCUUCUAAUUUAUCCACUUUCGGAGACGGAUAAGAAUGAAGGGGGAAAAAAAGGCAACUCUUUUUGCGAAACCCCCCCAACAAUUCCGGCAAGAGAAAUUCCUCAGUGGACGCGAACUUUAAUGUUGGUUUCGGUUUUUUUGUUCUGACAGUGCAACUGUACAUUUAUCACUCAUUCUUGGUUGGCUUCUCCAUCUUAAUCUCUUCUCACAGGGUUUCAAGGAACGACUCAUAAGAAUUAGGAUAGUGACCAGCAUGAGGAGGUGUUCCCAUUUGUAUGAACUUGUAUUGGUUCGGAAAGUCCUCUGAAUGACGCAAUAUUCAAUGUUGAUGUGCUUAGCAUGUGGUGGAAAUUAGGAAUAGGAUGACUGUGCAAUGCAUGUGCAGGCAGGUACAAGGGAAACUCAUUUUUGGGGAUGAGAAUGGUUAAUGAUUUUUGUUUUUAAGGUUCGUGAUUUGUUUCCUUUGUUUAUUCUAUGAAUCAUAAUCCAUUGGCGGCUCUGUGCCACGUGUGUAUUCUUUGGUAUUUUGAAUCGGAUUUUCUGGAUCUUAUCCUGUUUGUCCGUUAAUAGGAGAUAGAUAGAACAAUUUGGAUUUUUA